CUAUGAAACCCACAUGGUAAAGUCCAUGGUGUUCAGUUUAUCUUCUUAAAAAAGUUGUUGGGAUGAGCUCACCCUGCCAAGGUUCAUCUGUGUCACAGCCCACAUAGAAAUUAAAGCAACAAAGUGAAUGGAAGAGGAUCUUCAGCUGAUAUUGCAACUGGUGCAAUGGGAGAUAACCCUAAGAAAAAUAUGAUUGGGAAAAAAAAAAAAAAGGUUAACAAGGCUUCUUUUGCUUCUGCAACCUGAGCAGUAUCUGGAUCUGGCAUUAUUCUACAUUAGUAUUUUAUGCACAUUCCUUACAAUUAUGAGCAUCUUGGCAACCCAUGCAAGAAGAUAUGGAAAAAGACACCCUGACUUGUCUAAAACAAGUGUUAAAGAAAAAUAGUCUUCUGACUCAGUUUCUUGCUUAGCUAAAUGAAAGUAAUACAAAUCUUGGGGUCCAGGUCCAAUAUAAUUCUGUGUCUAUGCUCCCGGGACAGGGAUUUCCCCUAGGAAGCCAAAGAAAAGUUAAGGACAACUUUCCUCAUCCGGUAGACUUGCUGGAAUAAAUAGAGAUGAGUGGAAAUUAUCUGUACCAUUUCAAGGACUGCAUAGUGACGAUACCGACUUAGUUUUAAAAUACUUUCAGUUGUAUUAUUUUAAUAAGCAGUACUGAAAGGUAUUUUAUAGUUCUGAUAUCACCACAGAGAUAUUAACUCCAAAAAGUAUUCAGAUGAGCAUUCUGGCAAUUAAUGGCAAGUAUAAACUACCAACCGUACAAGAACCAAAUAUUUAAGCAUGACUAGACUGAUACCUCAGCUAAAAUAUUAAUAUAAUCAGAAAACACAAAUUAGAUUCAAAGGAUCCCCCAUAUAGCUGGUACUUUUGAAUCACAUAUGGGAAUGCAGUCCUGCCCACUGAAUGAUGGGCAAUUACAUUCUCCAUUAAUAUGUGUAAUACCUGCCACAUAUCAGAGAGAGAAUGUGUGUGUGUAUGUGGACAUAAAAUCACCGGAAUUUUAGUGUUUUCCACUUAAAAGAAAUGGUUACAUUUUAGUUUAGUGAGGAAGCCUAUUACAGUGUACAAAUUCCUUCAUUUCUCUUUUCCUUUUUUCUGUGGUUUAUGUCAAACAUUUUAAAGUAUUAAUGAAAAUGCUGUAAAAGCCAUAAUGUUAAAGUAUAAUUUUAUUUAAGAUUGUUUUACAUUAUAAGAACUAUAAACAGGCACCUGUAAACUUAUACAAGCAGUUAUUUUGAGAUCUGAGCUGUGUUUUUAUUUCUUUUAUGAUUGUAAAUAGAAGAUAGGUUGUUUUGGGUUUUUUAGAGUUAUUUUAUAAUUUUAACAUACUAGCUGCUCACUCUCAAGGAUUGUUUUAAGAUAUAAAUGGCAGCAGUCUGUAAAUUACCUUGAUCAUCAGCGAUCAACAAAAACAAGUUAAAUCCUUUUCUGUGGGUUUCCAAAGUGACCUUUAUGUCUUCUCAAUAAUUUAUUUGAAUUUCAUUUUAAUACGCUUUAUUAUAAUAAUUGUAAAGUUCUGAUAACCAUGAUCUACAGCCAAGUGAAAUCCAAGCAAUUGUGGCAUGGGUGCUUUCACUGUAGAACCUCUGGUGUUCCAGUCCUGGAUCUCUGACCAGUUCCCUGAUUUUUGCCUGAUAUUGUUAUGAUGGUAAAAGAAGUUCUAAAAAAAAGUCAGGUUUUUUUAAUGUAAUAAUGGUAAACCAAUCCUGAGCUUGAUCCAAUACUCUCCAGACUAGUUAGACUUUCAAACACACUUUUAUUGUGGGCUUCAAGAAGAUUUGAGGCUUGUUUUUUAGAGUAAAAGGUAUGCUUUUAAUUGGUUUAUACCACGAGUAUAAUUGAGGAGCAAAUCAAGGGAGUAGCACAAAUGUUACUGCCGUUUUUUCUCAUGUAUUUCUCACCUGCAGCGGGGACAGGAGGCAUCCCAGCCCACUCCAUUUUUCCCCACCUCAGCAUCAGUCUGUCCCGAGGCUGGGAAUGGAAUAAUUCCUCCUGUGGUCACCCCCCACACACAGACCAAAAUAGCAAACGCUUCUCACCAGAACUGUAUCUUGCCUCUUCAUGUUACCAUUUGUGGGUAAUUCUGAAAAAUAAUCGUGUCAAAUUUAGAGAAGGGUUACUGAAGUGCUUUCCCAAAACAACGUAGCAUCAGUAAGGUCUUAUUUUUCUUUAGGAAAAAAGUACAAUUUACAUCUGGAAAUUUAUGUGGAGGAGCGCUCAAGGCCUAUAUUCAAUAAGUAUCUCCUUCUGCCUGCCAUUGUAAUAGGAUCAAAUAUUCUAAGAAUUUAUUUUUUUAAAUCUUCAAUAAUUUGAGAGAAUGUGAAAAUUAUGCAAAUCAUGCAGUAAAAACUUGGUGCCAUAUAUGAAGAAUUAGUACAAAAACCCUAAGUCUUCAGCAACAUCUUAGUUAUCAGUCAUUGAUUUUUAUUUUUAUAAAACUGUAGCUGGAAGAGAGAAAACAUGAGGGUAAACAGAAAUGCAAAAAUAUGCUAUUUUUUUCCUUUUUAAUACCAAAAAAGAACUCUCUCUUACGAUAUCCACAACUUCUAAUUUCUUGUCACACUUUAAAUUCUUCUCCGUUAUGAUAUUUUUUAUGGAAUGAGAAGAGAUAAUGGCACCAACAAGAGCCCAUGACAAAGGACACGGUGUUAUACUUCUUAAAAUAAAGCAGGAGACAUUUGAUCUCAUUUUCUCAAUGUAAAUGAGUGAACUUGAGAACAAUGGGGUGACUUUGGCCUCACGUUGAUGCAACCAAAACCAGAAUCUUGACCCAUGGAUACAGCAAUCUGCAAAAUACUGCAUUAGUUUGCUCUCUAGUUUGCAAGGUAAUACACAGUUCGGGUAUUUGGUAAAAUAAAGUGAAGCUUUUGGAAAAACGCAACAGAUUUCUGUACCUAUACAUUAAUGUUUGUCUAAGUAUCUGUCUAGACACCCAUAGUUAACUACAAUCACAAUGUGCAUGCGUAAACGAUAUGGUACAGUAGACCAUGAGAUUAUACAUUUAUCCUCAUUUGUGAAGGUGGAUGCCUAGAACCCAUGAAUGGAGAAAGGUAUGUUAUAAAGUAUUUAAUCCUAAUCAAUACUUAUUAAAGCAGACAAAGUUAACAGUAAGUCAAAUCUGCAGUACUUUAGGAAAAAAGCAGCAAGCUGGAUUUCUUAUCUUGCAAUAGUUAAUGAAGUUUUAUGAUUUAUUUUAACCCUGAACUGGGCUUUAAAAAACCUUAAUUGUAUUAAUGUACUAAAAGAAAUACAAUUUUCACUUACUUUCAUUAAGCAUGACAGGUGACAGUUCCAAAGAUAAAUGCUGAAACUUGUGAAAAUUGCAAGUUCAGGUUGAAUUGACAAUAAUAUGGUCGUAAUGGGAUGGAAUUGUGCUGCUUACUGCAUUAAUACCACAAUUUAUUUUUUAAUGUAUGAAGAAUAUUUAAUUUAAUUAAUUUAUUACUAGGUUCUUUCUUCUUAAGUCUUCCUUUCAGUCUUUGGAUUUUGGUUUCAUUUUAAAACAUCCUGGCUAUUUAUAAAUCCACAGCUAAUCGCAUAAAAUAUCAGUGUUGGGAAGGAAUCAGUUUUCUGCAUGCCAUGUGCAAUUUGGGAGACUGAUAAUAUAACUAAAUCAAUUAAAGGGGACGUGGCUCUAUUAAGACUGAAAAAGUUGUACUAUUGUCACCUGUGCUAGACUCUCUGCAAAAUCAGAAGAUUUAAACUUGUUCAGUUUAUGAUAUGUCACUUAUCUUUGUAAAACACAGGCUACACCUGCAAUGCCCUAGCAAAACCUAGCUUUUUUAUUUCCAUUUGUAAAUAUGUACACUACUGUACCAAGUCAGUGUUAUAUUUAGAUUAGCAGAGCCUAUAUCAUGGUGUCAGAGAUCUGAAGCUCUUGAACUGGGACUGAGAGGAUACUACCAUAAAAUAUUUUCAUUGCAACUUUAUCAUUCAAAAUACACACACACACUCCAUGCUGCCAUGCACAGACAGGGUUUGCUUGUGUUGUACUUUUGUGAUAACCCAUGUAGUUGAGUUGUAGCACUUUGGGAUAAGCAAGCAGUUAAAAAAUUUAAUUUCUAAUGCAGUUAAUGAGUAGUUGUAAAGGUGUGUGUACAGUAGACGUUUAUGGAGAGCUAUCAGCAAGAAUGCUUACAGCACCUAGAAUAAGCAAAUAUUUGGACUUCUUUAGGGAUAAAGAACAUAUAGAUGGCAAUUGAUACAUAAGUUUAAACUUCAGAAAUUACAAUUAUGAAACCAUUAAAGCAAUCUCCUUCACAGUUCUAUAAAAUCAAUAUGGGAAGGGUUUCUGCAGCAGACCUUUAGCUGUGGUUUGGGAUACAAAACCCUUUUCAAGUAAAAAUGCAGGCAGUUUUGAGUAUCAGACAGUUCUGAGAACUAACCCUGUCAACAGGGGUUGAGCUUGUCUUUGACACCAUUAGGGACAAGAAAUAAUGUAAACAUUUUCGUGUUGAAUGUAAAUGAAUAUAUUAAGUCAAGUGUAAAUGACCAUGAACCUGUUGGUAGCUUUCUCUGCUAAUAUCACAUAUUUCUGCUCUCUGCAUGUUGUAUAAGCUUUCAGUUAUGGACUUGCAGCUUAUAGUGCUCUUUACAUUUCCUGUACAUCUGGCUCAUUAUUCUCGUGACCUACCAAAAUUCACAUAUAAAUUGGUAAUGUCUCUUAAAUUUAUUAAUCCAGUUUGAUUAAGAGACAAUGUUCAUAGUGGAGGAGUAUAUGAGGCAAUUUAUGGCUUUUGAGGGUGAUUAAAUGCUGAAGUGGAGCCAAGGCAUCUGAUAAUCACAAGAGCUAUUUAUUGCUGGAAUAUUCCAGCCACAAGAACAUUUUUCCCAUCAGUCAGUAAAAGAAGCACAUUUUAAAAACAACAUUAAAAAGGCAGAUUUUUUCUAGGUAAAGGAAGGUUUGAAAUGCCGUAUGUAACUGCAGUUGAGAGCCCCCGCUUGUGUCCUGUGAAGGGCAGUUAUAAGUAGGGUGUGUAUAGAAUUCAGAAGGUAUAUGUUCCUCUCCCUAAGAGCCGGGCUAAAGGACAAGUAAUUGCAUGAGGGAUUUACCUGUGUAGAAACCGAGGGCUGAGGCUGAAGUGUGAACAUGCGUGAUUUGCAUUAGAAUUUAUAACUCAUUUUCAUACUGCUACUGUAAAUGAGUAACAAUUAUCAUCUGCCAAACUGGCCUGUUAGCACAUGUUGGAAACAAGUCCAGAGUGGCUGCAAUUCUCUGGUCUCAUGGGAACAGACCUGUUUUAUUUAUACCUCCAAAAAUAUAAAUGAGUUAAGGAAUGACGCCUUAGGAAGAGGCCACUGCAGAAUUAAGAGAAGGAGGAUUCUGGUGGAAAACCUUUACAAGAGCUUGGAUUGGAAGUUGGAGUUGAGGGUUUGGAGCAUUUUUUUGAUGUUGGCUUAUUUGGUUUUGUUUUUAUAGGUGAUGCCGUGAGUCACCAGUAAAAGGCCUAUGCAGAGAUACUACUUCAUAUUUAUUUAGAUAGCAGAUAGCAGGAGAAAUCAUUCACAGAUCCCAUACAGUAGCAUGCUGUACACAAAAUAGCCAGGUUUGGUUAUUUUAUAUUUUUACAGAGAAGGUGUCGCUGGUUCUCAUGUGAAAACCAGGUAACAUCUUCUGCAGCUGAACUACUAAACACAAAGAUGCUAGGCCGUAACCAGAUGACUUCCAGAACUGGGGAAACCAAUCUGUAGAUGCCCAGUGACAUUUCUGAUCACCAUUCUCCUUCAACCUGUUCCUCUGAACUCGUAUGCCUCAGUCCAAGGCUGUGUAAAAUCCAACCUUCUUUUAAUUUACUGGAAAUGGAGAAGGAAGGUGGAAGGAAGAAGCUGAAGAGUUGGGCAGGCAGGUUUGGGGAGUCUGUCCAAGCAGACUACAGAGAAAGCAGUUUAUUUCCACUGGUAAGCUGGCACCUCCUUAACCAUUAGUCAUAAAAAAAAAUGUAGCAUUUGUCCUUCUCACUUCACCUACAGAGAAAUAGAAAAGGAGGUCUCGUUUGCCCCAACAGUUCUCUGUCUUCAGCUUUCUGACGUUCUCACUUCAUAACUACUAGCAAGGAUUCACAGAGAUAAAAGGGAAGAUAUCUGAAUUACUGAAAAUACUCUUUUUAAACAGCACCCUUGCAAGGGCUGGAGAUAGACUAUUGCUGCACAGUAAAAAACAAAAACAAAAACAACAGUACUUUUAUUUACAGCUGUUAGAUGUCUAAUUUCAAUGUCUAGUUU